CAACCUCCAGGGCUUGCCAACUGCUGUUGACUAGUAAGAGCACAUCAUCCUUGGUGACAGAAGGUAACGUCUCACUUUGUCUGUGCAUUCCCUGGCAGGGCAGCAGCAGUAGAGAAACAGAGAUGUCCCACUGCACAGGUGUGACUCAUUGAACAGCCAGAGGUUAUAAUGAAGUAUCCCACUCAUCUUUUAGCUCACCCUUUGUUCAAGACAAUGCAGAUUGCAGAAGGUUUCUGAGGAGGCCUUGUCCUCAGCACGGAGCUCCCACUCAGCUGCUCUGUAUCAUCCCCCACCCAGAGGGAGGACAGGCAAGAGGAGGUGACCACCUUCAACAAAGGUUAUGGCUGGAAAAGAAGGAAACAUCAGCUCAACCAGGUCAGCCCAGCCCACCAACUGCUUCUGUAAUCCCUCUGCCCCAGGUCCCCACACUGUUCUGUGUGGGGGCUGGAUGAUACUGUAUGGGCAGCAUCCACGCAGAGACAUGAGGAAAAGGGUUAAGGAGGAAACAGCUAAUCACAGGAACAUCCCAGCGCCGUUUCCAGCCCUCCCCUUUUCAGUGCUUGUUGGGAAUAUGGACACUGAGAUACACCUUACUCCUACUCAAGUUCAGAAGACCAGACUUGGCACCCCCGAUUCUUCAGAAGGCUGAGAGCCAGAUCUGAACCAAUUCUUGUGCUUCAGCUCAGCUCCAUAUUCCCAGAAAACCCUGAAGUUUUGAGACUUUAGGAGCGAAAUGGCCCCAGUUCCGAGGUGCCUGUUCUGGGUCAGAAGCAACUGAAUCUUGCCAAUCUGUCAGCAACCAGGAGGAAGCCAGGGAACACAUGCCUCCUAUUUGAUAAAACUUGGUGCUGCACUUUAUACAGCAGCCAGUGCAUUAUUCCACAGUGAAAACAAACCCUAUUCUUCUCUGCCAGAUAAACACACUUGAUCCUAUAAAGAGCAGCAUUUCUGACUGUUCAGCAGCAGCCAAACUCACGAUGGGAAAAAUAACAGGUGUUUGUCAGGCACUCCUUGUUUAUUCACAGUGCUUAAAAUAAUUGCUUAAAAAAAUCUGACAGAGAUUUAAUUUUCUAUGCUCCUACA